GACGAACGCUGGCGGCGUGCUUAACACAUGCAAGUCGAACGGAAAGGCCCUGCUUUUGUGGGGUGCUCGAGUGGCGAACGGGUGAGUAACACGUGAGUAACCUGCCCUUGACUUUGGGAUAACUUCAGGAAACUGGGGCUAAUACCGGAUAGGAGCUCCUGCUGCAUGGUGGGGGUUGGAAAGUUUCGGCGGUUGGGGAUGGACUCGCGGCUUAUCAGCUUGUUGGUGGGGUAGUGGCUUACCAAGGCUUUGACGGGUAGCCGGCCUGAGAGGGUGACCGGCCACAUUGGGACUGAGAUACGGCCCAGACUCCUACGGGAGGCAGCAGUGGGGAAUAUUGCACAAUGGGCGGAAGCCUGAUGCAGCAACGCCGCGUGCGGGAUGACGGCCUUCGGGUUGUAAACCGCUUUCGCCUGUGACGAAGCGUGAGUGACGGUAAUGGGUAAAGAAGCACCGGCUAACUACGUGCCAGCAGCCGCGGUGAUACGUAGGGUGCGAGCGUUGUCCGGAUUUAUUGGGCGUAAAGGGCUCGUAGGUGGUUGAUCGCGUCGGAAGUGUAAUCUUGGGGCUUGACCCUGAGCGUGCUUUCGAUACGGGUUGACUUGAGGAAGGUAGGGGAGAAUGGAAUUCCUGGUGGAGCGGUGGAAUGCGCAGAUAUCAGGAGGAACACCAGUGGCGAAGGCGGUUCUCUGGGCCUUUCCUGACGCUGAGGAGCGAAAGCGUGGGGAGCGAACAGGCUUAGAUACCCUGGUAGUCCAUGCUGUAAACGGUGGGUACUAGGUGUGGGGUCCAUUCCACGGGUUCCGUGCCGUAGCUAACGCUUUAAGUACCCCGCCUGGGGAGUACGGCCGCAAGGCUAAAACUCAAAGGAAUUGACGGGGCCCCGCACAAGCGGCGGAGCAUGCGGAUUAAUUCGAUGCAACGCGUAGAACCUUACCUGGGUUUGACAUGGAUCGGGAGUGCUCAGAGAUGGGUGUGCCUCUUUUGGGGUCGGUUCACAGGUGGUGCAUGCCUGUCGUCAGCUCGUGUCGUGAGAUGUUGGGUUAAGUCCCGCAACGAGCGCAACCCUUGUUCACUGUUGCCAGCACGUUAUGGUGGGGACUCAGUGGAGACCGCCGGGGUCAACUCGGAGGAAGGUGGGGAUGACGUCAAGUCCUCAUGCCCCUUAUGUCCAGGGCUUCACGCAUGCUACAAUGGCUGGUACAGAGAGUGGCGAGCCUGUGAGGGUGAGCGAAUCUCGGAAAGCCGGUCUCAGUUCGGAUUGGGGUCUGCAACUCGACCUCAUGAAGUCGGAGUCGCUAGUAAUCGCAGAUCAGCAACGCUGCGGUGAAUACGUUCCCGGGGCUUGUACACACCGCCCGUCAAGUCAUGAAAGUUGGUAACACCCGAAGCCGGUGGCCUAACCGUUGUGGGGGAGCCGUCGAAGGUGGGACUGGUGAUUAGGACUAA
rnacentral:rRNA from 1 species